rfam:Nicotiana sylvestris Nsyl_contig82234, whole genome shotgun sequence.
AUACCAUGAUGUGGAUAUGUAACCAGCAGACCCUUGAAUCUCUCCCACAUUUCAUGUAGCGUCUUAGUUGGUUUCUGUUUGAAGCUCAAUAUCUCAUCAAUUUGCU